rnacentral:rRNA from 1 species
CCUACGGGGGGCAGCAGUGGGGAAUAUUGGACAAUGGGGGGAACCCCGAUCCAGCCAUGCCGCGUGUGUGAAGAAGGCCCUCGGGUUGUAAAGCACUUUCAGUGAGGAAGAACGCCUGGUGGUUAAUACCCAUCAGGAAAGACAUCACUCACAGAAGAAGCACCGGCUAACUCCGUGCCAGCAGCCGCGGUAAUACGGAGGGUGCGAGCGUUAAUCGGAAUUACUGGGCGUAAAGCGCGCGUAGGUGGCUUGAUAAGCCGGUUGUGAAAGCCCCGGGCUCAACCUGGGAACGGCAUCCGGAACUGUCAAGCUAGAGUGCAGGAGAGGAAGGUAGAAUUCCCGGUGUAGCGGUGAAAUGCGUAGAGAUCGGGAGGAAUACCAGUGGCGAAGGCGGCCUUCUGGACUGACACUGACACUGAGGUGCGAAAGCGUGGGUAGCAAACAGGAUUAGAUACCCUUGUAGUC